rnacentral:ncRNA from 1 species
GGAAACCCUGAUGCAGCGACGCCGCGUGGAGGAAGAAGGUCUUCGGAUUGUAAACUCCUGUUGUUGAGGAAGAUAAUGACGGUACUCAACAAGGAAGUGACGGCUAACUACGUGCCAGCAGCCGCGGUAAAACGUAGGUCACAAGCGUUGUCCGGAAUUACUGGGUGUAAAGGGAGCGCAGGCGGGAAGACAAGUUGGAAGUGAAAUCCAUGGGCUCAACCCAUGAACUGCUUUCAAAACUGUUUUUCUUGAGUAGUGCAGAGGUAGGCGGAAUUCCCGGUGUAGCGGUGGAAUGCGUAGAUAUCGGGAGGAACACCAGUGGCGAAGGCGGCCUACUGGGCACCAACUGACGCUGAGGCUCGAAAGUGUGGGUAGCAAACAGGAUUAGAUACCCUGGUAGUCCACACCGUAAACGAUGAUUACUAGGUGUUGGAGGAUUGACCCCUUCAGUGCCGCAGUUAACACAAUAAGUAAUCCACCUGGGGAGUACGACCGCAAGGUUGAAACUCAAAGGAAUUGACGGGGGCCCGCACAAGCAGUGGAGUAUGUGGUUUAAUUCGACGCAACGCGAAGAACCUUACCAAGUCUUGACAUCCUGCGACGCACAUAGAAAUAUGUGUUUCCUUCGGGACGCAGAGACAGGUGGUGCAUGGUUGUCGUCAGCUCGUGUCGUGAGAUGUUGGGUUAAGUCCCGCAACGAGCGCAACCCUUAUGGUCAGUUACUACGCAAGAGGACUCUGGCCAGACUGCCGUUGACAAAACGGAGGAAGGUGGGGAUGACGUCAAAUCAUCAUGCCCUUUAUGACUUGGGCUACACACGUACUACAAUGGCGUUAAACAAAGAGAAGCAAGACCGCGAGGUGGAGCAAAACUCAGAAACAACGUCCCAGUUCGGACUGCAGGCUGCAACUCGCCUGCACGAAGUCGGAAUUGCUAGUAAUCGUGGAUCAGCAUGCCACGGUGAAUACGUUCCCGGGCCUUGUACACACCGCCCGUCACACCAUGAGAGCCGGGGGGACCCGAAGUCGGUAGUCUAACCGCAAGGAGGACGCCGCCGAAGGUAAAACUGGUGAUUGGGGUGAAGUCGUAACAAGGUAGCCGUAGGAGAACCUGCGGCUGGAUCACCUCCUUU